GGGGAGAGGAGGAAGCUAAACAAUGAUUUGCUAAAUUUGAAAGAAACCCAACUUUUCACAUGAUACCCAACCUUUCCCGAACGCAACAUUCUCUGCCCCGUUCUGUUCUCCAAUUUUCCAGCUGGAGCCAUCCCGAGCAAGUGGUGUCAUCAGCUCAACUAAAAAUACUUCCUUCGUCUUGGCUGUACAGUGGCCUGUGGGCUUUCUGCAUUUUGGCUGGAUUUUACCAAAAGGAGUGACUCAGCCUCUUACAAGCCUUUGCUGCAAGUGUUACUAUAGCUGAUGGCUACGGAAACCCCUUUCACAUGGGCUCUUUCGGGACCAGGAGUUCAGUUAGGUAAACCCCUCGGUGUCUUCUGGAAACAGAACGGUUAUCGAAGCUCCAACUAUGUCGGUCGGGUUAAACUUUGACCAACUCAGGUGACCGGUCAGUCGAGCUCAAAACCUUGCGGAAUACUUCGUAUCAGCCGAGACCACACACCCAGAUUCCUGGAGCAUGUCUGGUGUUUGUAAUCAAACAUAACCCCAGAAUGUUUGCUCUCCUAAGUAGUGGAGACACGUUCUUCUCAGUUGAAAGCUUUGUGUCUUACUCAACAAGGUCUGUAUCUGAACUAUGUUAAAGGUGCAUAGUAAAGGGAUGAUAUCACAGGGUUGCUUUGAUUCUUUGAGCUCUUGUGCUGAGCUGAAGUUGAGCAGUGACAAUGAGUCAUGUCGUCUUGUGACCGGCCGGGCACUUUCCCAAUCAGAGAGACUGUUGAGAUCUUAGACAAUAGAACCUGGGGUUGUUUGAAGAGGAGGGAUCCACAGAACCCGUAUGCUUGGUGACACCAGGCUUGUAUGGGAGAGUGCCCACUGGCAUUUCCUGGCACAGUGAGGACAGCGCUGCGACAUGAUCUGCACUUGGCCACUUGUGUGGGAUGUGGGGCAAUGGCCACCAGAACGAAGAGGGAGGAAAACUGAGCAAACUGUUGGAGGUGAAGUCAGUCUACCAUUCUGAAGCACCAGAGUCAAGCAUUCCAUCGGAUGGAUGGUUUUCACUUACGGCUUCAAAGACCCACAAUGGCUGAAGCUCCGCGAAGACGUGUUCAAGACUUUGAAGCAAGCUUUUCGUAAACGGCCGCCUGGGAAGCCUGAUUGGAGGCCUAGCUUCAAACCUCAGAACAGGCAGGACGUGCUGCGGCUGCACGAGGCGCCUGGGCUCCCGGGCGUUGGGAUGUACUUCAGGAGGCCUCUCUCUCGAGCAGUUCCGGUGAGUUCCCAGGUGUCCCAACUGGGCUCUAACCCCGGCCAGGGCCGCCCUCUGGAACGCCGUCAUUCCCCUUGCCCCGCACACAUUGGGUUUCGUCUCCAACGAGAGAAAAUCCUGGAAAUCCGGCAUUGUUUGGCCCCUUUUCUCACUAACCUAUCCAGGCUUUUCAGAAAUCUCCCCGCUCCAUUCUAAACAGGAAGUUUCAGCAGGCAGUGGUACCAAUGGCAUUGCAUUGUGUGGGAUGUCACCUAUUGUUAUCGGAACAAAGACGUCCUGAAAUCGGGACAAAGCCUUCAAAUCCGCCAGGGUCCCGGAGCCUUCAAUAGCCUGGCAUUGUGUCUGGAGGGUGAUUGAGUGAAUUGGGUCACUCCAAGAAUAUACCUAAGCUUCCGAAACUCUGCUAUUAUCGUUAGGGCUGCUGGGACGGGGCUGCACACGGCGUAUGCAAAUAGUAUGACAGUAGCUGUUCUCUCUGCUCUGCAUAAAUGCAAAGCAGAGAUUUCUCAACAGAUGUGGUUACCUGCACGGGCAUACAUAAACGGGGGGAAAUGUCUGCGGAACGAUCCGUCACUCACUCAAUCCUUCUACCAGGAACGUGUUAGGAAAAGCAGAAUAGCCUUUAGCCAAAAGUGCACGUGAAGUUUCUCUUUCGAAACACUGUGCGUGAGCCGUGUGAUUCUCCAGCUUUUAAGGCCCGAUGACCGUAAGAGUGUAGACGUUUCAUAUUCCGUUGGCAAGAAAUCCCGCGUUACAGGAGACCGACUGGCGUCACCAGGAGAGGGACCGUGAGGUCCCUCUCACGUAGCCGCCGGCGCUUGCACCCCCGGCUUCUCAUCGCGAAGAAGUUCCGAGCGUGGGUUUUGGUACGACGAACUGUGUUUCUAAAUCGAAACUGACCCCCAUCGAGACAGGGUUGCGUGGAGCAGUGUUUUUCUUUAUCUCAACAGCGAAGCCGCUAAAGCAAGUCUCAAAAAUGUCAUCUGAGGCU